AACGAACGCUGGCGGCAGGCCUAAUACAUGCAAGUCGUACGAGAGAGGGUUUCGGCCCUAGUAAAGUGGCGCACGGGUGAGUAACACGUAGGUGACCUACCUUGAAGAGCGGGACAACCAGGGGAAACUCAGGCUAAUACCGCAUAAGCUUGUUGACUUGAAAAACAACAAGGAAAGAUGGCCUCUAUUUCUAAGCUAUCACUUUAAGAAGGGCCUGCGGUCCAUUAGCUAGCUGGUGGGUAAUGGCCUACCAAGGCAACGGUGGAUACCUGGUCUGAGAGGACGAUCAGGCACACUGGAACUGAGACACGGUCCAGACUCCUACGGGAGGCAGCAGUAGGGAAUAUUGCGCAAUGGGGGAAACCCUGACGCAGCCAUGCCGCGUGAGUGAGGAAGGCCUUC
rnacentral:rRNA from 1 species